rnacentral:lncRNA from 1 species
GAGAAACUAACACGUUAUCAAAUACAAAAAUAGUUUUUUAAUAGCAAUAUAUGUCAACAUUCUGCCAAGGUUAUUUGCAUUGGCCUAAAAAUGCACCUACAUAUGACACACAUGUGAUGUGAGUGAGUUGGUUUUGUUUUGGCAUGGAAAUGGCCACCCUAAACGGAGAUUGGAAUCUAGAAGCAUAAUUUGGAAAAGCUUUUAUUAAGAAGUCAGGAAAAAGAGGGCACCCACCCAACUUGAAGUUUCCCAUCGAAUGCCACAUGGCUUUUGUCAUGGUCAUGGUAAUGUGAAAGAAAAUGGAUGGGAUUGUGAGAGCCCACUAUAAGAGUGAGAAAGUUAUUUGGUAGUGAGCAUGGUUAUAGCACUAGUUUAAGAACAAAGAGUGAGAGCAACCACUUAGUACUACGAUCUAGUUGUAUUUUUCUUCACUUAUAAGUGAGAUAUCUUAAAUUCGAUUCUCACCAAAGGCGAAUUUAAACCACAUUAUUGCUAGCACAUUGUGAGGCUAAGCCCACUCUCUCCCCCUUAGUAUACAUAAUAUCAUUUGUUCAAAAGAAAAAAAAAUCACAAAGAAUGGGAGCAAACUUAGAAGAAUGCACAAGGAGAAAAUGGUGUGCUGAAAUUCCUUUCUUUCUAGAGAAAAAG